rfam:Gossypium hirsutum cultivar TM-1 chromosome 13, whole genome shotgun sequence
AUUCUGUGAUGAGGGCAUCUUCGUAAUAGUUCUUUAAACCUUUUCCAUGCCUAAUACAAGGACUUAUCAUAUAUUUGUUGAAAGGUAGUGAUCUCAUUCCAUAAAUU